rnacentral:rRNA from 1 species
GAUGAACGCUGGCGGCGUGCUUAACACAUGCAAGUCGAACGGAAAGGCUCCUGCUUGCCGGUGUACUCGAGUGGCGAACGGGUGAGUAACACGUGUGUGAUCUGCCCUGCACUUCCGUAUAAGCCUGGGAAACUGGGUCUAAUACCGGAUAGGACGAUGGUUUGGAUGCCAUUCUGGAAAGUUUUUGCGGUUUUGGGUGAGCUCGCGGCCUAUCCGCUUGUUGGUGGAGUAAUGGCCUACCAACGCCUCGGCGGGUAUCCGUCCUGGGAGGGUAGACGGGCACCAUGGGACUGAGAGACGGCCCAGUCUCGUACGGGAGGCAACAGGGGGAAACAUGACACAGUGAGCGCAAGCCUGUGACGAAGGCGCCGCGUGGGGGAUGACGGCCUUCGGGGUGUGAACUGCUGUCGCUUGAGACGAAGCGCUAGUGACGGUACCUGGAGAAGAAGCACCGGCUAACUACGUG